rnacentral:rRNA from 1 species
CCCUUAGAUGUUCUGGGCUGCACGCGCGCUACACUGAUGCGCUCAACGAGUUUUAACCUUGCCUGGAAAGGUUGGGUAAUCUUUUUAAAACGCAUCGUGAUUGGGAUAGAUGAUUGCAAUUUUUCAUCUUCAACGAGGAAUGCCUAGUAAACGCAAGUCAUCAGCUUGCAUUGAUUACGUCCCUGCCCUUUGUACACACCGCCCGUCGCUCCUACCGAUUGAAUGAUCCGAUGAAUAUCAUGGAUUGAGGAUGCAAGUAGGUUCGCCUAUCUUCAUCUUCGAGAAGUGAAGUAAAUCUUAUCAUUUAGAGGAAGGAGAAGUCGUAACA